AUCCACCCGUGCCCCGCCCCUGCCUCCCGCAACUGGCCCCAACCCACUCCUCGCCUCCAUCCCUCGGACCGGUCGCCAACUUCCUCCCUCGCGCCGGCCGUCAAGCCCCUCCCGCGCGCCACAGCCAUCCUCCGCGCCGGUCUCCGCCUCCCUCCCGCGCGCCUGCCGCCGCCUCCUUCGCGUGCGCCACCACCGUGCCCCAUGCUGGUCGUCGCCUCCAUCUCGCGCGUCGGCCGCCGCCUUCCUCCCGCGCGUCGUCCACCGCCUUUCUCCCCGCGCCACCCGUUUCCCUUCCCCCGCAACACCCGUCUCCCUCCGACGAUGCCGGCCAGCCCGCCCCUGCGGAUCCAUGGCGAGCACCCUCCCCGAGCUACUCCAGGCGCAGAUCCUGCCACGAGUGCUCCCCGCGCACGGAUUUGGCCGGGCUUUGGCGAGCAUAGCCUGCUACAACCUGGACUCUGGCGCUGCUCCUCUCCCUGCACCCCGAUGCACGGUGUUACCCCAGGCAUGGGAGCCAUCCCAGGGCCGAAAGAGGCUCGAGCUUCCUGCAUUUCUAGUAGAUAAGCUUGUCCGGCACAUCCAGCCAGGUAAGCACAUCCAGUCGCUGCACACUUCAAGGACGGCAAAGUUGUGGCACCGAGUCGAACUUGCCGCUGCACCAUCUUCACCAAGUCGAACUUGCUAGAACUUGCUGUUGCUCAACUUGAUCUCUCGGGUAGCUCAUCCAGCAAGACUGCUGAAAUGGAAUGACUUCUUUGCAAAAAAAUCAGAACUAGUAGUUUGUCUCAGUCAUUUCUUCUGUAUAGUACUGCACCUUGUGCUCCCUUCAUCCCUUGCAUGUUUACAUGAGAUUUUUCCGUGCAAUCAGACUUGGGCUAUGGCCCAAAAAAUUUGGUGAUCUUAGUUCUGAAUUGCUGGGCAUGCAACUCCUCGAUUUUUAAUUGCUAAACGGUACCUGAACAAUUGAUAAGGGAGACGCUGUGCAUUACUAUUGAAACACAAGGUUUUUGCGUUUUCUCAAGAAAAUAGUAAUAGUCUAAACCAUGGACAAUGUUGAUUCUGCAUAUAGGUAAUGGAGAUACUGAAUCUGAACCAUAAAUUUAUAAAAAUAGGUUAGCUUCAUAGCAGCAUGCUUGCUUAUCUAUUGGCAUUCACAUGUACCAUCAGACCAAUCGAUCAGCAGCAUAAAGAUCAUGAUCAUAUGUCCAAGUCGAGCUCUGGCUGCAGUCCAAGUCAAAAUGCGACCAACAUCUUCACCAAGCGCUGCGCCCGUUGAUCAUCCACACACUCCACUUCACCAAAGCUAUCAGUCCAAAUGAGGAGGUGUAGCCGGUCCACCUGAUCUCCGACGUCGUAUUCUACCUCCAAAAAAUUUCUUCUUCAGUUCAAUUCUUCAUCACAGGUUCACUGCUAUCACCCGUUUUUGUGAAUCUCUAUUAAAAAUUAGCUCACGUUUUAGUGAAUGAGAAGCAGUUUGUACUUAUAGCUUGAUGCGUGUUCAUGAGUAGUUUAAAAAGUGUGCUUGUUUCCUGCUUUGCUAUAACACUUGUUAGAUUGCUAUCCAAAAAGGUCAUGUAUUCAUGGAUUUGCUGCCGGUGUAGCAGCCCAGCAUGUAUUUUAUCAUCAGUUCGUAAAAGGAAAGCUGAAUCAGUGCAGUGUGCGUGUUAAAAAAAUCUGUUUUAUAUUGUACAGUAGUUCAUUGUAUAGAAAAUUUGCAAUAGCUCCUGCUUUUCAGUUCAUCUACUUCCCCUUCGCAAGUCUAAUUAGUAGAAAUUCAAAUAUGAAAAAUAGCAUCCAUUUUGUUAUGUUCAUCAUAUUCAACCAAUUUUGUAUGUACAGACUUGUAUAUGUUGAUUAGUAGGGUAGAUCUCUGUUGCACAGUCGAGAUGUGUUCAGUCCAACCCCGUGGCAUUAGGGACGUCGAGUUCGUCGCGAGCAGUAGUACAUGGUUGUUGUCUUACUCCAGCAGCCAGCCCAGCCUUCCCUCCUGGUCAUCAGUCCAACUUCUUGCUCCGACGUCGGUCACUCAAAGCGUGCAGGACACCCGUGUUUCACCUCCUGAUCCAGCUCAACUUUCUCCAUUCUUCAGCAUUUUUGAUUGUCGCAUGAUACUUGUAUUGGGUGCUAGAGUUCAUGUAUUACUGCCAGGGUAUGACCGGCGACAACGAGUAGGUGGCAAGUGUACCACAUCGAGCAACAAGACAGAGGUAUGAAGCAGAUGUGCGUGGUGUGCUGUCAUUUCAUAAGUUCAAGUGUUUAUCCCCUAUAAACUUCAGAGAAAAAAUAUAUUAUGUUGCUUAUUGCUCAGUUCAUGUGUAAGCACUGGAGGAGUUCAAAAAACCAGGACUCAUGCGAUUUCAUAAAAAUAUGGUGUUUCUUCCGUACCAUCGGAAUGAGAGAAAAACAUUGAUUCAAUUUUUCCAUACCAUCGCUUUUAUUGCUAAAUGAUUUAGACACUUGUUUUCUUGAUGCCAUCAUGUAUUUGCUUAAGUACUUCAGCUCAACAAAAAGCUCCAGGAAAGUUCAGAGUUUGUUUUCAGAAAAGCUCCAUGGUGUUUCUUCGGCUACAGCAUCCAUGCAUCCAAGUCGAGCUCUGACCGCAGUCCAAGUGGAACUGCGACCACCAUCUUCACUCAGUGCUUCACCCAUUGAUCACCCACACACACGAGGGAGGCUGGAGCGACUGCAGACUGGUGACGAGAACCACUUCAGUUCUGUUGUUCGUGUAUUGGAAGUACGUAUCCUCUAUCCAAGCAGGAGGUAGAGGCAUGUGUUUGAACUUGCAACCUCACCGCCUUAAGCUACGAUCUCCAAUAGAAGUGUACUAAAUGCAGGUACUAGGUGGUGGCAUUGCUUCACUUCUCUUGUUACGUUCUCUUCGCCCAAAUUCGGAGGAUCAAGAAAAUAAAAUAUCAUUGUUUUGACAUGCACCACUCAAAAGAAGUCUUUUCUGUUGAAAAAUUGUUUCGCUUGACAUGUACUUGCCAACAAUGAUGUAUAACAAAUCAUGGCAUUGUAUGUAGAAAAAGAUAUAUUGUGUAUUCUGCUGUUGUAUUGAGUUGUUAUCUAUUGCUAAUGGUACGAUGUUGCUAUUGCUCUGUGUCAUGUUAUGCAAGUUGACACCAAGUACACGUUGGAUGA